GACGAACGCUGGCGGCGUGCUUAACACAUGCAAGUCGAACGGAAAGGCCCUGCUUUUGUGGGGUGCUCUAGUGGCUAACGGGUGAGUAACACGUGAUUAACCUGCCCUUGACUUUGGGAUAACUUCAGGUAACUGGGGCUAAUACCGGAUAGGCGCUCCUGCUGCAUGGUGGGGGUUUGAAAGUUUCGGCGGUUGGGGAUGGACUCGCGGCUUAGCAGCUUGUUGGUGGGGUAGUGGCUUACCAAGGCUUUGACGGGUAGCCGGCCUGAGAGGGUGACAGGCCACAUUGGGACUGAGAUACGGCCCAGACUCCUACGGGAGGCAGCAGUGGGGAAUAUUGCACAAUGGGCGGAAGCCUGAUGCAGCAACGCCGCGUGCGGGAUGACGGCCUUCGGGUUGUAAACCGCUUUCGCCUGUGACGAAGCGUGAGUGACGGUAAUGGGUAAAGAAGCACCGGCUAACUACGUG
rnacentral:rRNA from 1 species